AACGUCCGGCAUCCUUUGAGGGUCCCGGCUUGGCCCUCACUCACUGCUCCCCUUUAGAUAUAAAUUCAUGCACAUGUAAGUGUGUGCACACCGCACUCCAAGCUGCUUCAAUUCCAACAACGACUGAUGAUUCAUGGAGUCAAUGGGACUCGAAACUCUCUGUGUCUGUCCUGGUCCAGACGGCUGAGCUUGAGAUGAUCUCAGGGAAAGAAAAACGACAGAAA